CUGAAACCCAGAUAUUUGGCACACAGCUGAAUCAGAUGCAGGUGGAAAUUAGCAGUAUGUGUUUUCCUAAAAUGAAUAUUUACUGUCUUAUAAUUGCAAACAGCUAAGUCUUAAUAAAGAAGGGUUCACUCUUCUGAGUAGAUAUUUACGUUACACUUAAACAUGAAACUGGCAACUUUAGGGCUUUACUAAGAUAAAAGCACCCAAAGAUUUCUGAAAAAAAAUAAUGGUUUUGGUGCUUACACAACAUGAGCAUUUGCCCAUACUUUUUUACUUGAGAUUCUCUCUUAGCUUUUAUGGUUGUGCCUUUGACAGCUUCCAAGAGCUACCUGUGGCCAGAAAUCACAACAUACAUCCCAUGUGAGGAGCUAUGGUCACUGUGAGCAGGCAGCAGUAGGGAUGUGUCAGAUAAUCCAGCAUCCCAUUGAACAGAAUGUACAAAGAAUGUGAAUUCUGCACUUCUGCUAUAAGUACCUGUACCUAUGUAACAAGAAUAAUAUGGGGUGGAGCUUCUCAUUACAGCUGGGCAGAGAUUUUUCUACAUGCUGUGGAGUGGGCUGUGCUUUGGGACACCUUGGCACACGAGGCAACAAGAAAGAGACAGCAGCUAUUACGACCAGGCUUCAUCACUCCAGUUCUGAAACCAUCUUCAGCAGCAUUUCAGAGACGAAUGGCCUUGUCAGUUCAUAUUUUAGGAAACCACGUGGCAGGUUCAUAUAAAUAGGUAGAGCUGCUUCAAGCAAUAAGGAUUUCCUUCAUCCGUCACUUAGAAGUUGCAAAGACUGAUCUGAAGGCCGCAGAAAGGAAGAGGAUGCAAUUUUGUUGUAAAGAGACCACAGGAAGAAAAAUGUUCAGACUAAAAAUUCAGAUUGAGAUUUUGAUCACCUGACAGAUGAAUGUGAAGCUAGUGGCAGCUAGUGUUUCAUGUAAAUGUUGUUCGUGAUUUUCAAUGUUCAAUCUCUG
ensembl:lncRNA